UACGUAGGGUGCGAGCGUUGUCCGGAAUUACUGGGCGUAAAGAGCUCGUAGGUGGUUUGUCGCGUUGUUCGUGAAAACCGGGGGCUUAACCCUGGGCGUGCGGGCGAUACGGGCAGACUUGAGUACUGCAGGGGAGACUGGAAUUCCUGGUGUAGCGGUGGAAUGCGCAGAUAUCAGGAGGAACACCGGUGGCGAAGGCGGGUCUCUGGGCAGUAACUGACGCUGAGGAGCGAAAGCGUGGGGAGCGAACAGG
rnacentral:rRNA from 1 species